CUAGUGUUCACGCUGCUUAGGUUCACACUUUGGAAUUUCUCCUCGACGGUUAGAAGAAAAGAAGAAGAUCCAGAGAAGAUCUUAGUAAUAAGAUAGUUUUUAGGAAAAUAGAUAUUUAGUUUUAGGUCAUUUCUUGUAAUUUUAGAUAUGGAGUGCUUGUCUUUAGUUUUUGUUUCGACUUUGUGAAACUUGCUACCUAUUGAUGAAACUAUGUAUAUGUAUGGAUGAAACUUCCUACUAUUGGUAACAUGCGUUGGAUAUGUGUUGGAUA